AACGAACGCUGGCGGCGUGCUUAACACAUGCAAGUCGAACGCGAAAGGGGCUUCGAUCCUGAGUAGAGUGGCGCACGGGUGAGUAACGCGUAGAUAACCUGUCCUGGUGUCUGGAAUAACGUCUCGAAAGGGGCACUAAUACCGGAUAUUCUUGCUUUCUUCAAGGUAUGCAAGGAAAGGUGGCCUCUGGAACAAGCUACUGCACGAGGAGGGGUCUGCGUACCAUUAGCUAGUAGGUGGGGUAAUGGCCUACCUAGGCGACGAUGGUUAGCGGGUCUGAGAGGAUGAUCCGCCACACUGGCACUGGAAUACGGGCCAGACUCCUACGGGAGGCAGCAGUGAGGAAUAUUGCGCAAUGGGGGCAACCCUGACGCAGCGACGCCGCGUGAGUGAGGAAGGCCUUCGGGUCGUAAAGCUCUGUCAAGAGGGAAGAAGUGCAUGGUGGUUAAUAUCUGUCAUGUUUGACGGUACCUCUAAAGGAAGCACCGGCUAACUCCGUGCCAGCCGCCGCCGUAAUAC
rnacentral:rRNA from 1 species